rnacentral:rRNA from 1 species
AGAACUUAGCAGAGAUGCUUUGGUGCCUUCGGGAACUCUGAGACAGGUGCUGCAUGGCUGUCGUCAGCUCGUGUUGUGAAAUGUUGGGUUAAGUCCCGCAACGAGCGCAACCCUUUAUCCUUUGUUGCCAGCGAUUCGGUCGGGAACUCAAAGGAGACUGCCAGUGAUAAACUGGAGGAAGGUGGGAUGACGUCAAGUCAUCAUGGCCCUUACGAGUAGGGCUACACACGUGCUACAAUGGCGCAUACAAAGAGAAGCGACCUCGCGAGAGCAAGCGGACCUCAUAAAGUGCGUCGUAGUCCGGAUUGGAGUCUGCAACUCGACUCCAUGAAGUCGGAAUCGCUAGUAAUCGUAGAUCAGAAUGCUACGGUGAAUACGUUCCCGGGCCUUGUACACACCGCCCGUCACACCAUGGGAGUGGGUUGCAAAAGAAGUAGGUAGCUUAACUUUCGGGAGGGCGCUUACCACUUUGUGAUUCAUGACUGGGGUGAAGUCGUAACAAGGUAAGCGUAGUGCU